GCCAUCAUAGCUUAGUGGUAGAGCAUCGGUCUUGUAAACCGAAGGUCGUGGGUUCGAUUCCCAUUGGUGGCU
rfam:Cyclospora cayetanensis strain CHN_HEN01 contig_1487, whole genome shotgun sequence.